UACGUAGGUGGCAAGCGUUGUCCGGAUUUAUUGGGCUUAAAGGGUGCGUAGGCGGCUUUGUAAGUCAGUGGUGAAAUAUGGCAGCUCAACUGUCAAGGUGCCAUUGAUACUGCGGAGCUUGAGUACAGAUGAGGUAGGCGGAAUUGACGGUGUAGCGGUGAAAUGUGUAGAGAUCGGGAGGAACACCGGUGGCGAAGGCGGGUCUCUGGGCAAUUCCUGACGCUGAGGCGCGAAAGCGUGGGGAGCAAACGGG
rnacentral:rRNA from 1 species